rnacentral:rRNA from 1 species
UACGUAGGGGGCAAGCGUUGUCCGGAAUCAUUGGGCGUAAAGAGCGUGUAGGCGGCCGGUAAGUCCGCUGUGAAAGUCCAGGGCUCAACCCUGGAAUGCCGGUGGAAACUGUCGGGCUAGAGUCCGGAAGAGGCGAGUGGAAUUCCUGGUGUAGCGGUGAAAUGCGCAGAUAUCAAGGAGGAACACCAAUGGCGAAGGCAGCUCGCUGGGACGGUACUGACGCUGAGACGCGAAAGCGUGGGGAGCAAACAGG